rnacentral:rRNA from 1 species
GACAGAGGGUGCAAACGUUGUUCGGAAUUACUGGGCGUAAAGGGCGCGUAGGCGGCCUGCUAAGUCGGAUGUGAAAUCCCUCGGCUCAACCGAGGAACUGCAUCCGAUACUGGCGGGCUUGAAUCCGGGAGAGGGAUGUGGAAUUCCAGGUGUAGCGGUGAAAUGCGUAGAUAUCUGGAGGAACACCGGUGGCGAAGGCGGCAUCCUGGACCGGUACUGACGCUGAGGCGCGAAAAGCGUGGGGGAGCAAACA